GUUACUUAUGCUGAACAAAGAAGCGUUUAUAUAUUUACUCAAUGGGACGAAGGACUUCUUUAAGCAAUCAAAGCGGACCUCUGCUAUAUCACCGAUCAUAAAAUUAUGCGCCGCGUUACGAUUUUUUGCAGAUGGCAGUUACCAAAAGAGUGGCGGUAACGAUUUUAAUGUUGGUUUAGCUCAACCUACAUUUUCUGUGGUUCUUGAGGAAGCUCUAAACAUCCUAGAACAACGAGUCUGUACACGGUGGAUCAAGGCGGCGAUGACCCCUGAUGAAGUAUAGAAUUCCAAACUGGCUGUUUACGCUCAAAGUGGAUUUCCAGGAGUAAUAGGCAGCGUUGACGGUAUGCAUGUUCGAAUCUGUGCACCACGAAAUGAAGUACAGCAUCUAUAUCUUAACAGAACAGGCUACUACAGCCUUAAUGUGAUGAUUUUUUCAGACUAUAAACAGAAUAUCAGGUGAUGCAGGAUAUCCACUAGGAAGAAUUAUAAUGACCCCAUUUCGCAAUACAGUUGAUGGCUCACCACAAAGGAACUACAACAAAAUUUAUGCUAAAGCAAGGAACUCCAUUGAGAGAACUAUUGGCGUUCUGAAAAGCAAGUUCAGGUGUUCUGCUAGGGGUUUGCACUACGCGCCGGAAAAAGCUAUGCAAAUUGUUAAUGCUUGCUGUGCUUUACACAACAAUUCUCAGCAUUUCAAAGUUCAAUUUCCCGAUACCAUUUUGAGCACAGAUAAUCAACAAGAAUCCACACCUGUGGAAAAUAAUUCAGCAUCGAAUGGCGAAGCAGAAAGAAUAAGGAACAACAUAAUGCGUUCAUUGCAAUAAAUUUCAGAUGUAUUUCAUUUCAAAUUAAUAAAUUAAUUAAUUUCCUA